rnacentral:rRNA from 1 species
GAUGAACGCUGGCGGUGUGCCUAAUACAUGCAAGUCGAGCGAACGGACGAGAAGCUUGCUUCUCUGAUGUUAGCGGCGGACGGGUGAGUAACACGUGGAUAACCUACCUAUAAGACUGGGAUAACUUCGGGAAACCGGAGCUAAUACCGGAUAAUAUUUUGAACCGCAUGGUUCAACAGUAAAAGCCGGUCUUGCUGUCACUUAUAGAUGGAUCCGCGCUGCAUUAGCUAGUUGGUAAGGUAACGGCUUACCAAGGCAACGAUGCAUAGCCGACCUGAGAGGGUGAUCGGCCACACUGGAACUGAGACACGGUCCAGACUCCUACGGGAGGCAGCAGUAGGGAAUCUUCCGCAAUGGGCGAAAGCCUGACGGAGCAACGCCGCGUGAGUGAUGAAGGUCUUCGGAUCGUAAAACUCUGUUAUUAGGGAAGAACAUAUGUGUAAGUAACUGUGCACAUCUUGACGGUACCUAAUCAGAAAGCCACGGCUAACUACGUG